rnacentral:tRNA from 1 species
GGGGAUUUAGCUCAGUUGGUAGAGCGUUCGCUUAGCAUCUUCAAAGACCUCAAUGCGAAAGGUCGCGUGUUCGACUCAUGCAGUCUCCA